rnacentral:rRNA from 1 species
UACGUAGGGUGCAAGCGUUAAUCGGAAUUACUGGGCGUAAAGCGUGCGCAGGCGGUUUUGUAAGUCAGAUGUGAAAUCCCCGGGCUUAACCUGGGAACUGCGUUUGAAACUACAAGGCUAGAGUGUGACAGAGGGGGGUGGAAUUCCACGUGUAGCAGUGAAAUGCGUAGAGAUAUGGAGGAACACCGAUGGCGAAGGCAAUCCCCUGGACCUGUACUGACGCUCAUGCACGAAAGCGUGGGGAGCAAACAGG